UUUUUUUCCCAUGACAAAAAUACCCAUCGUAAUCAAUCUGUAAGGUAUGAAGUUCAUGGUUCAUUCAGUUUUGUUUUUCUACAUUUCCAUUGUCGAAACAGCUCACAGAAGAAGAAAAAUCCUAUAACCUAAUCUUCUCGACGACAACGGUAUAAAAAUUCAAUGUUCAAACAUAAAUCUGAGAACCUUUUCAAUUCGAUUCCACUUAAAUAACCUAAAUCGUCAUCAUCCGUACCUUUCCUUGAAGAUUAAUUUGAGGGGAAAAGUUUAUGAGAUGCAAAUUAAUUCGAAGAUUUCGUCAAUCAAAGCGACGUGAAAGAUAAGUUCAGUCUAUUCUUGUUAUUUAAUUUGAUGAAAAUGUUAAUUUAUUAAUAUAGAAAUUGAUUUAAGAAAAAAAUUAUGGUUUCAAAAAACAAAUUACUUGGGUUUCAGUUAGAACUUCGGAUCCGAUAUAUCAUUAAAGGUUAGAUCUAUAAUCAGCUCAUUCUAAUUGUUGUUUUGGGAUAAAAUUUUGAUAAAUUUUGACAACAAUUUAACAAAAUUUAUUGGAACUCAUCUCCAAAAACUUGACCUAGCUGCCAGUCUUUGAUUAUGAUCUAAAUUGGACUUCAGAUUCGAGAUCGAUGCAUCUUAGUCUCUAUUACCCAUCAAACAAAUUUGAAUUUUAUCUACUUUCAAAUUUGAUGUCAUCUGAAUAUAUAUCUCUCUAUGGAAUGUCAGAGUGAAAUGGAUUUUUCAGCAAGCACCGAGUGAAAUGGAUUUGUGAGCAAGUACCGAGUGAAAUGGAUUUAUGAGUGGUUUUUAAUCUCCAUUUUGAUUGAAUACUAACAGAAAUUUUCUUCUUUGCAGGUGAACUUAUUGGUGCAAAAUAUUCAAGCUGAUGGGAGACAUGCACUUGACAACUGAAAGAGGAACGGCAAGAAGACUCGCAGACCAGCCGCCAAAAGCAUUGCCUUCAGCCAGGUUCAUGGUUAAGAUGUUGCAGUUACAGGAAAUUACUGCUAUUGAUGAUACAGAUCUUCCUCCAAGAUAUGUGAAUAACACAGGUCUUUCUGCAAGAAUUGGAAGGCUUAAUCUGGACGCGGUCGAUCUUGAUCAGUCAUCUGAAUGAGGCUUUCAUCGUGCAACGGCUCUUGCUGGUAGUAAAUUUUUAGAGAUAUGUUUCCUACAACUGAUGAUUUCUGCAUGAAUAAGGAUGAGCCUGAUUGGGAUAUACCAACGGGUGAAGUCGCUUCCGCCGGUGAUGCAAUUGAAGAUAUUCGUUAAGGCAAGACAAUUGCACCCAUAACUCGGAACUGGAUUUGAUCUGGCAUGAUCGAGCUGUCCAUGAUUUAAUUCAAAUUUUCUUUUGGGUAUAUCUUGCAGAUGGUCAUUAUUGUUGAUGACGACGAUAGAGAAAAUAAAGAAGAUCUAAUAAUGGCAGCAAAGUAAUAAUGGCAGCAAAGUUGGAUUUUCUAGAUUUUUGUAGAUGUGUACAUGUUUGUAAAAUGAGAAUUAAGAUUUAAAAAAGAAAUGGGAAUUAUAUAGUCAUAUGGGUACUCUUUUUGUAGCUUUCGGAAAGAGUUUUCCGAAUACAUAAAAUUUGCGAUUUUUGGACAAACGGUUUAAAAGAUAAAUUGAUUUUAUUUUAUUUUUUAUAUUA